ACGGGUGAGUAACGCGUGGGAACAUACCUUUUAGUGGGGAAUAACUAUUGGAAACGAUAGCUAAUACCGCAUAAGCCCGAGAGGGGAAAGACGGAAGUUGCUAGGAGAGUGGCCCGCGUUAGAUUAGCUAGUUGGUGGGGUAAAGGCCUACCAAGGCGAUGAUCUAUAGCUGGUUUGAGAGGAUGAUCAGCCACACUGGAACUGAGAUACGGUCCAGACUCCUACGGGAGGCAGCAGUGGGGAAUAUUGGACAAUGGGGGAAACCCUGAUCCAGCAAUGCCGCGUGAGUGAAGAAGGCCUUCGGGUUGUAAAGCUCUUUUGUCGGUGAAGAUAAUGACGGUAACCGACGAAUAAGCACCGGCUAACUUCGUGCCAGCAGCCACGGUAAUACGAAGGGUGCUAGCGUUGUUCGGAAUGACUGGGCGUAAAGGGCGCGUAGGCGGCGUUAUAAGUUUGAUGUGAAAGUCCUGGGCUUAACCUGGGGAUUGCAUUGAAGACUGUGAUGCUAGAGUCCGCGAGAGGAAAACGGAAUUGUGCGU
rnacentral:rRNA from 1 species